GGCUAACUCCGUGCCAGCAGCCGCGGUAAUACGGAGGGGGUUAGCGUUGUUCGGAAUUACUGGGCGUAAAGCGCACGUAGGCGGAUCAGAAAGUUGGGGGUGAAAUCCCGGGGCUCAACCCCGGAACUGCCUCCAAAACUCCUGGUCUUGAGUUCGAGAGAGGUGAGUGGAAUUCCGAGUGUAGAGGUGAAAUUCGUAGAUAUUCGGAGGAACACCAGUGGCGAAGGCGGCUCACUGGCUCGAUACUGACGCUGAGGUGCGAAAGUGUGGGGAGCAAACAGGAUUAGAUACCCUGGUAGUCCACACCGUAAACGAUGAAUGCCAGUCGUCGGGUAGCAUGCUAUUCGGUGACACACCUAACGGAUUAAGCAUUCCGCCUGGGGAGUACGGUCGCAAGAUUAAAACUCAAAGGAAUUGACGGGGACCCGCACAAGCGGUGGAUGAUGUGGAUUAAUUCGAUGCAACGCGAAAAACCUUACCUACCCUUGACAUGUC
rnacentral:rRNA from 1 species